rnacentral:rRNA from 1 species
UGGGGAAUUUUGGACAAUGGGGGAAACCCUGAUCCAGCCAUCCCGCGUGUGCGAUGAAGGCCUUCGGGUUGUAAAGCACUUUUGGCAGGAAAGAAACGUCGCGGGUUAAUACCCCGCGAAACUGACGGUACCUGCAGAAUAAGCACCGGCUAACUACGUGCCAGCAGCCGCGGUAAUACGUAGGGUGCAAGCGUUAAUCGGAAUUACUGGGCGUAAAGCGUGCGCAGGCGGUUCGGAAAGAAAGAUGUGAAAUCCCAGAGCUUAACUUUGGAACUGCAUUUUUAACUACCGGGCUAGAGUGUGUCAGAGGGAGGUGGAAUUCCGCGUGUAGCAGUGAAAUGCGUAGAUAUGCGGAGGAACACCGAUGGCGAAGGCAGCCUCCUGGGAUAACACUGACGCUCAUGCACGAAAGCGUGGGGAGCAAACAGGAUUAGAUACCCUGGUAGUCCACGCCCUAAACGAUGUCAACUAGCUGUUGGGGCCUUCGGGCCUUGGUAGCGCAGCUAACGCGUGAAGUUGACCGCCUGGGGAGUACGGUCGCAAGAUUAAAACUCAAAUGAAUUGACGGGGGUCGAUAC